rnacentral:lncRNA from 1 species
AGUGUGCUAUUUUUUUAUCAGCAUGUAAGUAAUUAAAAAAGAAAUUAAGAAACCCAAAGACUACUAAACUAUGAAGUGAUGGCACAAUGGUCUCUUACCUGGUGUAUUAAAGUUGUUCAAUUUUAUCUUUAGUUCAAUGCUAUGAUGAGUUCUAAUUGUUUUGAAGCUCUUGAGCAUUGAUUCAAGGAAUAAUGGAUUGAUGACCUUUUUCAAUGUACAUGCUCAGUUGCUCUAUGACUGUACUCUGUAGAAGAAAAUUGAUUGUUGUCAUGAGGGUCCAAAUUAACAUUAAGUUUAUUUAAGUUUCUCA